UGUACAGUGUACAAUGUGACGAGCGUUAGUCGAAAUGGUCGACAUGUCUCGCGACAAAGUCCUAGCCAAGUUAUACGGCGGCAGCUAUUCGCCUGCUGGUUGUGUCCACUACUCCGCUUAGAUAAGCACGGUCAGCUCACCGGAAACUUUGCACUGGCAGUGAUAUCCAGUGACCGUGCACCGAGUUCUCCGGCGAGUAAUCAUUAAUUAAUUGCAUUUUGUAAUCAGCGGGCCGUGCGCUCGCUUUCGUUUCCAUUCGACGUUCUAUAAACCCCAUUUACUUACUCGCCGCGCGGUAGUGCAAAUAGUAUUACCGUAAUAACGUCAGCGUUACUACUGACGAGUUAUUGGUAUAGGUAAAAAAUAGCCAGCUAGGCACUGCAGCAGUAUUGGUAACGUUUUAUUAAAGAACAUUUCAGCGUUUCUCCAUGGCGUAUGAGCUGUCGUAUUUUUGCAAAAAUACCGCUCUUCACCGUCACGCUUGCCUUAUGGAUCCAUCAAGUACAAAUCAAAUACAAAUAAAUUGUCGCAUAUUGCAUAUCGUGUAUUAAUGUAAUAUAAAUCAUCUUUCAGCAAACCUCUUCAUAAAACUUAAUAAGCUGAAGAACCGGCUGUGCGUCAAUUCCGAGGAAAUUGUGGCGAACCACCGUGCCCUUUACACCGAGCUUUUAUGCCGUCAUUCCGAAUACGAUGUUACGAGUCAGUUUAACCGGAGUAAUAUCUCGAAAUCCAUUAGCACCGUCUCCGCGGACCGCAAUCUUGAUAAUUCCACGUGGACUCGGCUCGAGAGUGCGGCGAACGAGCCAGAAUCACCACCGAAUGCGGAAACACGUCGGCCAAAUGAACGCGCGAACGCUCGCGAGAACGCGAGAUGGUUGGCUGUAGAACGGCAGGGAUGAAGAGGCAGGUCAGAGAGGAGAGAACGCGAAAGUCGAAAGAGCAAGGACUAGACGGGGAGAAAAUACGGAGGGUUGCCUGAGAGAAAGAGAGAGGGAGAAUAAGGCCGCCAAGAGACGUACGACUCCCCGGGGAAAUUUAGGUGCGACCUCCAUGUAUCACAGAAGCUGCCAGUGAGAAGAAUCGACAGACCGCGGAAGGACGAAUAUACCGGCAAAAUGGUAAUAAAAUCGAUGCCCCGGAUCUGCUCCGAUUUGUAAUUGAAUCAAAUUAAUCACCCCGACCGACCUCGAACAGAAUCCGUACCCCCGCAGACUGUCGACUCAUCCACCGCCAUCUCCAAUUAAUAGCGAACGACUGGAGAACAGCCGGGGUAAAAGGGGAUGAACGGGACGCGGGUAUGGAGGGUCAUUUCGACGUUUCGUUGAAACUUUAUAAAACGAAUCCAAUUACCGACGGCCGUUUGUCAAAGACUCAAAGCUACCAAAAAGUUUUGCUCGCAAAAAUGAUGUUGUUCGCCUCGCAUAUUUUUGCAAUUUGCUAUCAGUGAUAAAAAUAAAUGGGUGAAAAACCGACGAAACUGCGAUCACAUAGAUUGACAUGCAGCGAAAAUCGCGUAUAAACUCGCGCUCUGAGAAAAUUAAUCGUAAUUGAAUUAAACGUAGAUAGAUUUAAAUGAUGAAUUAAUUAUUUUAAAUCAAAGACAGAAUGUACAAACCUUGCUCAUUUAUCAAAUGAAAAAUAUCAAUAACAUAUUUAUUAUUAUGAUUAAAAUUUGUUUAAUUUCGGAAUUGUUUUACGGAAAAAGUAAUUCAUCGGUGUUUAUAAUUCACAUAGAUUUGUACUUGUACAAUUGUCAUUUUGUAACUUUUCAGUUAUGAUUUAAUAAU
rnacentral:lncRNA from 1 species